UUUCCGUUAAGGAAGCAGUGGCAGUACGGGUGAGUAACGCGUAGAAAUCUACCCCUAGGAGGACCAUAGCUCAUCGAAAGAUGGGGUAAUAGUCCAUAAUCAAUUUAUUGUAAAGCGAUUAACUUCGCGCCAAGGGAUGAGUCUGCGUCCUAUCAGCUUGUUGGUGGGGUAAAAGCCUACCAAGGCGAUGACGGGUAGCUGGACUGAGAGGUCGAUCAGCCACAACUGCACUGAGACACGGGCAGUACACCUACGGGUGGCAGCAACUAGGAAUAUUGCGCAAUGGACGAAAGUCUGACGCAGCGACGCCGCGUGGAGGAAGAAGGCCUUCGGGUUGUAAACUCCUUUUGAUAGUCCCUUCACGGACUAUAGAAUAAGCCCCUACUAACUACGUGCCAGAAGUCUCGGCAAUACGUAGGGGGCAAGCGUUAUCCGGAUUCAUUGGGCGUAAAGUGUGCGUAGGCUCAUUGAAAAGUCGUACCUUAAAUACUAAGGCUUAACCUUGGAACUGGGUACGAUACUUUCAAUGUUGAGGAUUGUCAGGGAUGCUGGGAACAGUUAGUGUAGCAGUGAAAUGCGUUGAUAUUAACUGGRACACCAAAGGCGAAGGCAAGCAUCUGGGAUUUUCCUGACGCUGAGGCACGAAAGCUAGGGGAGCGAAACAGAUUAGAUACCUGUGUAGUCCUAGCCGUAAACGAUGUCUGCUAGCUUUUUCCGACUUGUCGGAUGAGGCGCAAGUUAACACGUUAAGCAGACCGCCUGGGGAGUACGGCCGCAAGGCUAAAACUCAAAGGAAUUGACGGGGACCCGCACAACCGGUGGAGCGUGUGGUUCAAUUCGAGACAAAACGAAAAACCUCACCAGGGUUUGACAUGUAAUCGUACAUUUCCCUAGAAAUAGGGAGAAAUCCGCAAGGAUGAUUACACAGGUGCUGCAUGGCUGUCGUCAGCUCGUGCCGUGAGGUGUUCCCUUAAGUGGGGAAACGAGCGCAACCCGCGUCUAAUGUUGAAUAUUCAUUAGAGACGGUCCCAGUUUUACUGGGAAGGAAGGAGCGGAAGACGUCAAGUCAGCACGGCCCUUAUACCCUGGGCUACACACACACUACAAUGGCGAAAAACAACGGGCGGCAAGCCGGUAACGGCAAGCUAAUCCCUGAAAUUUCGCCUCAGUUCAGAUUGAGGUCUGCAACCUGACCUCAUGAAGUCGGAAUCGGUAGUA
rnacentral:rRNA from 1 species